rnacentral:rRNA from 1 species
CCGCAUACGCCCUUCGGGGGAAAGUGGGGGAUCUUCGGACCUCACGCUAUUGGAUGAGCCUGCGUCGGAUUAGCUAGUUGGUGGGGUAAAGGCCCACCAAGGCGACGAUCCGUAGCUGGUCUGAGAGGACGAUCAGCCACACUGGGACUGAGACACGGCCCAGACUCCUACGGGAGGCAGCAGUGGGGAAUAUUGGACAAUGGGGGCAACCCUGAUCCAGCAAUGCCGCGUGUGUGAAGAAGGCCUGCGGGUUGUAAAGCACUUUCAGUGGGAAGGAAAAGCCUGGGGCUAAUAUCCCUGGGUCUUGACGUUACCCACAGAAGAAGCACCGGCUAACUCCGUGCCAGCAGCCGCGGUAAUACGGAGGGUGCGAGCGUUAAUCGGAAUUACUGGGCGUAAAGCGCGCGUAGGCGGCUGACUAAGUCGGGUGUGAAAGCCCCGGGCUCAACCUGGGAAUUGCAUUCGAUACUGGUUGGCUGGAGUCUGGUAGAGGGGUGUGGAAUUCCAGGUGUAGCGGUGAAAUGCGUAGAUAUCUGGAGGAACAUCAGUGGCGAAGGCGGCACCCUGGACCAAGACUGACGCUGAGGUGCGAAAGCGUGGGUAGCAAACAGGAUUAGAUACCCUGGUAGUCCACGCCGUAAACGAUGAGAACUAGCCGUUGGGAGGAUUAGCCUCUUAGUGGCGAAGCUAACGCGAUAAGUUCUCCGCCUGGGGAGUACGGCCGCAAGGUUAAAACUCAAAGGAAUUGACGGGGCCCGCACAAGCGGUGGAGCAUGUGGUUUAAUUCGAUGCAACGCGAA